rnacentral:rRNA from 1 species
AGUGAACGCUGGCGGUAGGCCUAACACAUGCAAGUCGAGCGGCAGCACAGUAAGAGCUUGCUCUUACGGGUGGCGAGUGGCGGACGGGUGAGGAAUACAUCGGAAUCUACUUUUUCGUGGGGGAUAACGUAGGGAAACUUACGCUAAUACCGCAUACGACCUACGGGUGAAAGCAGGGGAUCUUCGGACCUUGCGCGAUUGAAUGAGCCGAUGUCGGAUUAGCUGGUUGGCGGGGUAAAGGCCCACCAAGGCGACGAUCCGUAGCUGGUCUGAGAGGAUGAUCAGCCACACUGGAACUGAGACACGGUCCAGACUCCUACGGGAGGCAGCAGUGGGGAAUAUUGGACAAUGGGCGCAAGCCUGAUCCAGCCAUACCGCGUGGGUGAAGAAGGCCUUCGGGUUGUAAAGCCCUUUUGUUGGGAAAGAAAAGCAGCAGGUUAAUACCCCGCUGUUCUGACGGUACCCAAAGAAUAAGCACCGGCUAACUUCGUG